rnacentral:misc_RNA from 2 species
AACGCACAUUGCGCCUCUUGGUAUUCCGAGGGGCAUGUCUGUUUGAGCGUCAGUACACACCUCUUGUGAGCUUCAUUGUGAUCAGGGCUCUGGGGCCGGCGGACGGGUCUUUGGCGUGCGAACGCCCUCGCCCCGACCGCCGCCCCUAAUGUGGCACGCUUGCGGACCUCCAGUCAGCGAUCAACGUAGUAAACUCGAAAGAAGCUCGUAGAGACCUGGUGGAAGGCUUCGCCUGAAUCAAAACCCUUUCUAUGGUUUGACCUCAGAUCAGACAAGGAUACCCGCUGAACUUAA